UUAGACCAGCCGCCACCUGCAGCAUUAGAAGCUCCUGUGAGGAGAAUGAUGGAAUGGGGCAUUUAUCUAGGAAAUUGAAGGAAGAAUAAGAAAAAUUGAACUUGGGUACAAGGGCGUUAUAAAUAAAGCCAUAAAUUUAAAUAAUUGCUCAUACCUUGUCUAUUGAGAACCUUCUAUCAGGAUCCCAGCUGAGGCAUUUUUCCACCAGAUGGACUAGGCAAAAGAGUUGGUGAAGAUCAUGCGAAUCCAUCACCAUUGGAUCGAUCAAGUCUCCAUAGAUCUUCUUUUUCACCAGCGGUCUUGCCUGUAAUUAAGAAGAAACUGUGGCCAUUUGUAUCUUGAGUAGUUCUUCGGCCAGUGAUAAGCUCUAGAAGAAUCACCCCAAAUGAGUAAACAUCACUCUUGCUUGAAUCUUUCCCGGUUUCUGCAUACUCAGGCGCUACGUACUCAAAAGUUCUUCUGGCGUCACGCCCUAGUGUCUGAUCAGCCGGUUCAUCGUACUGAUGUCUUAUACUGCAAGCCUUUGGCUGUUCCGGUGGCUAUUUCCACUCUCUUGUCCCAUUUCAGCUCUCUCUUGUCUGGGGCAGUUGAAAUGAAAAAUCAUUUCAUUUGGCAAAACUGAUCUAGCAGUAACACAGAAAGGUGAUGAAUAUUGAAUAUUACUGAUCGGGAAAGAUGGUCUUUACUUGAGAG